CUCAUACUUCCAUAAUAGUUCUGGGACAAUUCUAAACACAAGCCAUUUUUCUAAGGAGAGUCCACAUUAGAGAGGUCUUUGUUUUGUAUUCAAGAUGAUUAAAAUUAAUUAUGAACUGGGAAGUUAGUCCCUGGGGUGUCCUGGCUGGCCUUUGGAAAUCUUCACUACAUCUUUCUGGGUUGGAAUUCUCACCACAGCCUGAACGUGGGGCUGUAUCUGAGCUGUCUCUGAGUGCUGUCCAUUUGAUAUAUCGAGUACUGGGUGUUUACCAGGGCUCUUCAAGCCACUGGGAGAAACAGCUAAAGAGUAACCUACUGAUUUGAGAUGUGGAUUUGUGCCGCAUCCCUUUCUCCUUGUUUCCCACAGGAGUUUUAUCUCAAACUCCUAAGCCAUUUUUAAGGAGAUCACUGGAACAAACUCCAAACCUACCCUCUAAUAGUCAAGUUUACCUGAAUUUUCUCAGUUCUCUCGCGAGAAGACUAAUCACACAUUGUAGUACCAACUUGGACUCUUCAUGUGCUUUUCUUAACUGAUUAGAGUAACACCUCAGCUAAAGUGUAUAGAACAUACAUGGGGCUUCAUCAGGCUUCAGAAUCAGUUUCACUAGAUGUGCUAUGUAGGAGGCCACGGAAAAAUUACCGUAGUAGUAAAAGUUAUCAGUUCUGAUGUAAACAAUCAUUUUGUCCCAUAUUAUAAAUAAAUUGGCCUGAAAAUAUCCUUUCAUAUGUGAGGAAUAAGUAUAUGAUGCCUUUCUCCUUUAAAGUAUGAACUGCUAAAAGACAGGGAUAACGUGUAUUCUGUAUUCCAGCAGCCACAGUGUGUUUCUGGUCUUUGUACCAGGUGCUCAGGAAGUGUUUUCACUGGCUUGGGUUGACUACUUGCCAUCUGCUCUCUGAGCAUUCAUUUCUGAAUGAAAGGGGAGAAAGUGAAAGGAGAGGUGGGAAGAAAGAGGAAGCUGCAGAAAUAAGAGGAAACAGCUGGAGGAGGGAGGUGAAGUUGAGGAGGUAAGGUCAGUAAAACAAAAAGCUAGCAGAGGGCAGGGUCAGGCCCUUGGGGUAGAGGGCUAAUUAACUUAUGUCAGCUAGUUGAAUAGAGCCUUGUGUGCUUUGUUAGAGACCAAAGGUACUUCAAAGGAAAAAAAUCUAGAUUCUUCCCUGUGUACCUUAAUAAUUGUUCAUCAGGUCAAAAUCUAUCCUGUCCUCUAGGAAUUCUGGUCUUCCCUCAGGCCUAGCAGAGAGCUUUCUGCCACUACUCAGGCAACCAAGGGUGAAGUGCUUCAAGUAGUAUUUGUGGACAGCAGCAGGUAAGCUUGAUGUGUUAUUCACAGCUUAAAGAGUAGAUGCUGAGUACAGCUGUUGUCCAUGUGUAGAGCUUUUAAUAACCAGCUCAGCAGGCCCCUUCACCUGCUUUUAUGCCUGGACCAGAUGACUGAAUGUAGAACUUUAGGCACUUUUUUUUUUUUGAGACGGAGUCUCGGUUUGUCGCCCAGGCUGGAGUGCAGUGGUGCAAUCUCGGCUCACUGCAAGCUCUGUCUCCCGGGUUCACGCCAUUCUCUUGCCUCAGCCUCCCAAGUAGCUGGGACUACAGACUCCCACCACCAUGCCCGGCUAAUUUUUAUAUUUUUUAGUAGAGACAGGGUUUCACCGUGUUAGCCAGGAUGGUCUCAAUCUCCUGACCUGGUGAUCCACCUGUCUUGGCCUCCCAAAGUGCUGGGAUUACAGGUGUGAGCCACCAGAUCCGGCCCUUUAGGCACUUUCUACUUCUCAAGGUCAAGAAACAUCCUUUAAAAAGUUAAUUCCCUUUUCUGGAGCCUAAGCCAGAUCUUAUCUAGGCCUUGUGUUGCCAUCUGUUAGCAUUGAUUUCUGGAAUGGAGCAGCUUUCUCAAAGUUUGGUCUUGCUAGUCAUGAGGUCAUGUCAGUGUCUUAGGUCACUGCUGCUCACCUUCCUUACCCAGGGAGUAUACUGCAUAGGUUUCUGAACACCUGUUUUCAUUAUUCACUGUUCCUCUCACUGCCAAGAAUGGAGGGACCCUCAGUUGAAGAUCAAAUUGACUCUGAAGAAAAACUGGAGAUGUUUCUCUUGGAGUUUGGAUAGAGUAUUCACUUGAUAACAUGUUUUUCCCCUGCCUUGCUCUUCACAAGAACAUCUGGCCAGGUAUUAACAAUUAGUAAAUUUUUUUGCAUAUGAACAGUAUUUUUCUGGUGAUGUAGAUGGGUGCACAUGACACUAAACAGCAUUGUUUAGUGUUAUCCCUCUUAACUGGUGGGUUGUAUUUGGGGUGGAGGCUAUAGCCAAUGAGAAGACAUUCACCUCUGUACUCGAGAAACUUUGUGUAGGAAUUUAGUUUAUUUUUUUAUUUUUUUAAAUUUUUUAUUUUUUACUACUUUUACUGUUAGCACAAUGCUAUAAUUGAGCUAAUCUUUGUAGUUUGGUGCAGGACCACCAAGUUUGUGUGACCCAUUACCUACUUUUUCCAUGCUCAGCCAUUACCCUGUCCUGGGGCAUCUGAGGGCAGUAAGGAACAGGUGUCCAAAGGAGGAAUGUUGGUGCCUAUGAGUAUGUUUUCCAGUUGUAUUGAAUUUCUUACUUGGUGUAUUUUUGACUUGUCUUAGUUUCUUUCCUUGUGGUCUAUGCUAUUUUACUUGCGAUUUGUUGGAUAUUCUCCCUGUCAUUAAAGAGUUGUAAAAUGGAAGUUAGUUUCUCUAUGCAAAUGCUUUAAUGGAUGAAGCUGAUAGGUUUAGCAUUGAUUUUUGCUGGUGUCUUUCAACAAGCAUGAAGGUGAUAAAUGUGUUUCCAUGGCUUUAGACUCAUUUUUGAAGUCUUGGAUUGUGUGAACAUUCUUAGAAACAAUAAAAUGUUUUAAUUAAAAGCCCUCGACUACCAGUUGAAUUCAGUGUCUACUAGGAAAAUGGGUAGAUUUAUUACAUUGUCCCUUUGCUCUCUAUGACUUUGUUCCAGUUGUCAAGGAACUUAAAUGGGUAUUCAGGAAAAAGAAUUCUUGUUUCCCUUUCCUCACCUUGCCAGUUAAAUAACUCCUGGUGACACUUCAGGUGGUAGAAUUGAAACACAAACCUGACUUCUGACCACAUGGGUCAAAGGCAAAAGGCAAAUGGCUUCAAAGCCCUUAGUGUGCUUAUCCAGUUCAGGCAGUGAGGAGAUAACCUCUGCUUUCCUCCCUGAGGAGUUUGGAGUAUUUAAGGGGGGAUGGGGGGGGUGUCACUUUGAAAAUAUGUUGCUUUUUCUCCUGAUUGUAUUGAGGCUGAUAUGGAAGGGUUAUUUCUUUCUGGCCAAUACUUUUUGGUAUUUCUAAAUAUUGCAAUCUUGAUUUUUACUAUUAAAUUUGUUAAUUGUCAGUUCUGGCUUUUUUGCAUAAAGAGUUGGUCCAUUAACUUGCCAAUUUGAAGCUUCUAACUAGAUAUUCCCUACUGAAAGUUUUGGAUUUGUUUUUAGUUUGUGGAGCAGUCUUAGCUGGGGACAGGUAAUUGACAACGGCAGAGAUACUUUUCCUAGGAUUCUAAGUCUGUAAUCCACAUCCUCAAUGUAUUCACAGGACUUUAAAAUUCUCUCCAAAUGAGGAAGGAAAUAUCCUGUUGCUUUCUAAUGUUUACUAAAAGUUGUGUUUAGAACAACAGAUUUUAAUAGGCAUCUUCCUUUGUUAUGUGUCAUAGCCCUUUGCCCGUUUACCUUAGGGCUCUUUGAAGGAGAAAUGGAUGGGAGAAAACCUGUCACUUGGCGAAAGUAAAAGGGAUAAUUAACUGGCUCAGAGCUUAUGUGCAGAGUUCCAAGCCCCAAAGUUAAUCUAGAACUACUCGAUAACACCAAUAAAAAUAUUUAUUUCACAUCUGUUAUAUAUCUGGAAAAUGUUCUAAGCAUCUUACAUAUAUUUUUCAUUAAAUCCACAGGUGACCAUUGUGAGGUAGAUAUUUUGUUCUAAUUUUCCAGAUGAGGAAGCUGAGACCCUAAAAGGCUGACCGGUUCCCUGAUGUGUUACCUGCUUCUGCUACUGAUCCAAACUGCAGAACUUCUCAUUCAUCCCCAAGGCCUCCAGGCAGUAUCCAAUGGGGAAUCAGCUCUAAAAGGAACCAGACCAACGUUUUCCAGCCCCUUCAUUCUGGUGACUGAGGGGAGGAAAGAAUGGGAGGGGGUAUUCUUGUCUAGUGGAUGGAAAGGAAACACACUGUCAAAUUACUGUAUCUCCUUGGUUUUCUAUUACAGUAGAAUUCUCCAGCCAUAUUUUUAUUGUCUAUGGGGGAAGUUGGAGAUGGUGACCUUGAUUAGAAGUGUCUGGAGGGGGAUAAAUGGAGGGGAUAAGAUUCAGUUGGUUUUGGAAAAUGUUAAAGUCUUAAAAUAAUGCGUCCAUCUGAAGAAUUUUUUCUAAAACCAGAGUUUAUAAAAAUAUCACUGAUACAGCCUGCCCCCUCAUUUCCCUGCCACAGGAGAUGUCUUGGACUAGAGACACUUGUUUAAUAAUAGCUUGUCUCUGAUAUUCCCAGUAGCUUCCCUCUGUGUGAGGAAAGGAUAGAAAUGUUCAGGACAUCAUCAUACAGGCUCCUCAUCUACAAAGUUCCAGUAGCAGUGACGCCUACACGGAAGACUUGGAACUGCAAACAGGCUGGGGUCACCUCAGUGACAUCUGACGCUGUCCAACCAGAAGUUCGAUUUUUGUUCUGGGGGUGAAGGAGGAAACAGACUGUACUAAAGGACUAAAAUAAUUUCUUGUCU
rnacentral:lncRNA from 1 species